rnacentral:rRNA from 1 species
CAGCAGUCGCCGCGGGAAUACGAAGGGGGCUAGCGUUGUUCGGAUUUACUGGGCGUAAAGCGCACGUAGGCGGAUCGAUCAGUCAGGGGUGAAAUCCCAGAGCUCAACUCUGGAACUGCCUUUGAUACUGUCGAUCUGGAGUAUGGAAGAGGUGAGUGGAAUUCCGAGUGUAGAGGUGAAAUUCGUAGAUAUUCGGAGGAACACCAGUGGCGAAGGCGGCUCACUGGUCCAUUACUGACGCUGAGGUGCGAAAGCGUGGGGAGCAAACAGGAUUAGAUACCCCGGUAGUCCCUGUCUCUUAUAC